UUUUAAACAAACUUUUGCAAUUUUGGAAUUUUUAAAUAAAAGUUUGAAGAAAAAAUAAAAUGUUUGUGAAUUCAAAAAAUGCUCAGGAUUUUUGUAAAAAUAUUCGCAUAUUCAAAAAAAUGUUCAUAAUUUUGAGAACAAUGUUGGUGAAAACAAUAAAAGUCCAGGAUUUUGAAAAAAAGUUUGUGUGUUAUUUUUUGAGUGCAAUUGAAAAAAAUGUUUGCUAAUUCAAAAAAUGUUCAUGCAUUUCAAGAAAUGUCCUAAAAUUUUAAAGACAUAAUAUGAUCAGCACCAUUGAAGAUUAUAAUUGUUUUUCUCCCAUUGCAACGCACGGGUCCUUUUGCUAGUACCUACCUAUUAAUAGAAUAUGGAGCGUUUUUGCCUGUCCGUCAUACAUUUUAUAAAAAAGACACUGAGUUUUUCUUUAAUUAACCUGCAGUCCAACAUAAAGUGUUCUUGGGUUUCGGCCUAACUGUAAUAACCGCUAUCUCGCAUGCUUGGGCACUUGUUAGUAUACCGCACGGACCUCCUAUGUGCCGCUUGUUGCGGCCAACUGCUGAGUGAACGCAUAGUGGGUUGCCUGACUGGGCCGGCCCGGUUACUUCUUUUUUCUUUUGUUUUGAUACUCCUUUUCUGUUUAUUUCCCAUUUUGUUCAUUUUUUUUUCUUUUUUUCAUUUCCUUUUAGAAUUUGUAGCAAAAAAAUCCAGAACAUUUUCUGUUUCUGUUUCAAAAAAUGUUCUGAAUUAUCAACAAAUGUUACAGUUUUAAAAAUUGUUCACAAGUAAAAGAAAAUCUUUUUUCGAACUUGAACUGCCAUAGAUGAAGAUUUUCCUAGUAUUCUACUAUUCCCCGAAUCAGCUUGAACUGCCAUCUCUCUUUGCUUCAGGGCAGCCCACUUUUUGCGUGCGUGAGCAGCCUGCUUCACAUACUCUUGUCGUCGUGGAUGUGCCUUCACAAAUUCUUCAUAUUCUAGCCACUUUGAUAGAGUCUCUACACGCCGCAUGAUGUAGGAAUGUGUGUGUGUGUGUGUGUGUUCAUAGCGAUAAUUGUUCUUGUGUCUAUAUAUGCUUCUACUUUUGUUUAAAAAAGCAAGAGAGAGAUAAGCAUUUAUUUAUUUUGUUGAUCUGAAAUAUAUAGUAUAGGAUGGGAAUAGUCGGUAAGGACUUAGUUCUCAAAAAAAGGAAUAGUCGGUAAGGACCAUUGGCCAGCUUCCUUUAGGGCAUGUAGAAUGGUUGAUAAGAUAAUCUUAUUUUAACACUUGCAUCUAACUUAGAGAUGGUAAAAAAAAGUCUGACAAUGGGUCAUCUUUUAGUUUUAUCUUUAAUAACUAGCUAUUCCUAAAAAUAUGGUGAGACAUAUUGUGUUAAGAGAUCAUUUCUUAUCUUCUCUUGAAUAAGAGAAGACAAACCUUUUUUAUGACUUCUUUCUCUCCACCUCAUCAUUUAUUCUACAUGACACUCCUAACAUAGCAUCAUUGUACAUGCCCUUAGUCACGGACCAUCGUAGUG
rnacentral:lncRNA from 1 species